rnacentral:rRNA from 1 species
UACGGAGGGAGCUAGCGUUAUUCGGAAUUACUGGGCGUAAAGCGUACGUAGGCGGCUUUGCAAGUUAGAGGUGAAAGCCUGGAGCUCAACUCCAGAACUGCCUUUAAAACUGCAUCGCUUGAAUCCAGGAGAGGUGAGUGGAACUGCGAGUGCAGAGGUGAAAUUCGUAGAUAUUCGCAAGAACACCAGUGGCGAAGGCGGCGAUCUGGGAAGAUACUGACGCUGAGGUGCGAAAGCGUGGGGAGCAAACAGG